GCAUUGAUAGUGUAGGGGUAUCAUGAGUCGUUGCCAGUCUCAUCAUCUGUAUUCAGGUGUGUUUAAAUCCACUCGAUUCGACUCGACCGGGGUUCGAGUCCCCGUCAAUGCA
rnacentral:tRNA from 1 species